ACUCUUAAUAUUGUUGUAAUGACUCUUAAUAUGUAAAACAAUGUGUAGUGGUGCAGUAAGCUCAAUAAAGUGCAUUGACAAGUAAUGCUUCUAGGAUGUUAGGCUAGCAUACCCGGCAUAAUCAGAUAUCAGAUGAUUUGACAAUCAUGAAACAGUUUAACAAUGUACGUAGCCGCUUUUUUGCCAUUAUAUUAGAUUUUUUCACAGCGUACAAGUCGCCGUUUUCGCGUAGGACUUUUAUGCGACGCUACUUGCAGUUCUGCAGUUUUGUCUUCACGGUCAUGAUAAUUUUGGAUCUCCUUUUGACAUUUGCGACAUUACGCGGAAUUAUACUAAGAACCCACUGUGUUUGUCCUCCGAUGAGAAAAAUUUAUUGCUCGCUUUGAUAUUGCUCCCAUUCGGAUUUGCGAUGAUGAGGAUCCUCAAGGGCAAAACAUCGACAGAAGUGCUGCUUAAGGGAUUUGGCCCGGUACAUAGCACCAAAUUCGUGCACAUACACGGGAAUAUUCGCUUUCGCGCACUUCCAAUCACUUUUGUGGAGACACCGAAACGUCGUGGAACUGCUUGGAGGUCUACGAUAUAGCUGGGAACACGUGGCUUAAGAAAAGUAAUACGAAUUUUGAAACGCAGUAUGGCCGGACGUGGAAGCUUUGCCUGGAAGGUUUACGUUCUUGGUGGCAUGACCGAGAAGAGCCCCGACGGGUGCGGUUCGAUUGAGUGGUAUAACGAAGCCACCGAUACGUGGACACUGCAUGAUUGCCGACUGCCAAAGAACAUCAAGGCUUUCGGUUGUGUGAUGACGCGGAUGAAGAAAAAGGACAACGGUAAUUCCGGCUCAUCCGAUCUCGAGGUCGGGUUGAUCAUGAUGAUGGAAUGGACGUGGCCACAAUACGAACCAUGGAUAAUUUCGGCGAUUGAAGUCCAGAUUUAUACUGCUUACGUUUUUUUAUAGCGAUAGUGAUAGCCAUUUUCAUACUGCUUGUUUUGUUUAGCUGCUUGACGUAGUUUGCUACGUAACAAAGAUUGGAACUAGUGUCUUUAUGCAAAUCCGUGUUUUUACCUUAUACAAAGUACGUUCUAAAAGAUUCUCUCCCUUUUUUU